GCAUCGGUGGUUCAGUGGUAUAAUGCUUGCCUGCCACGCCGGCGGCCCGGGUUCGAUUCCCGGCCGAUGCA
rnacentral:tRNA from 1 species